GGGUUGUGAGGUUAAGCGAACAAGCGUACACGGUGGAUGCCCUGGCAGUCAGAGGCGAUGAAGGACGUGCUAAUCUGCGAAAAGCGCCGGUAAGGUGAUAUGAACCGUUAUAACCGGCGAUGUCCGAAUGGGGAAACCCGGUGCACUUCGGUGCAUCAUCGUUAGCUGAAUACAUAGGCUAACGAGGCGAACCGGGGGAACUGAAACAUCUAAGUACCCCGAGGAAAAGAAAUCAACCGAGAUUCCCCCAGUAGCGGCGAGCGAACGGGGAACAGCCCAGAGCCUGAAUCAGCUUGUGUGUCAGUGGAACGGUCUGGAAAGGCCGGCGAUACAGGGUGACAGCCCCGUACACGAAGGCACACAGGCUGUGAGCUCGAUGAGUAGGGCGGGACACGUGAUAUCCUGUCUGAAGAUGGGGGGACCAUCCUCCAAGGCUAAAUACUCCUGACUGACCGAUAGUGAACCAGUACCGUGAGGGAAAGGCGAAAAGAACCCCGGCGAGGGGAGUGAAACAGAACCUGAAACCGUGUACGUACAAGCAGUGGGAGCCUUCGUAAGAGGGUGACUGCGUACCUUUUGUAUAAUGGGUCAGCGACUUAUAUUCUGUAGCAAGGUUAACCGUAUAGGGGAGCCGAAGGGAAACCGAGUCUUAACCGGGCGUUAAGUUGCAGGGUAUAGACCCGAAACCCGGUGAUCUAGCCAUGGGCAGGUUGAAGGUUGGGUAACACUAACUGGAGGACCGAACCGACUAAUGUUGAAAAAUUAGCGGAUGACCUGUGGCUGGGGGUGAAAGGCCAAUCAAACCGGGAGAUAGCUGGUUCUCCCCGAAAGCUAUUUAGGUAGCGCCUCGUGAACUCAUCUCCGGGGGUAGAGCACUGUUUCGGCUAGGGGGCCAUCCCGGCUUACCAACCCGAUGCAAACUGCGAAUACCGGAGAAUGUUAUCACGGGAGACACACGGCGGGUGCUAACGUCCGUCGUGAAGAGGGAAACAACCCAGACCGCCAGCUAAGGUCCCAAAGUCAUGGUUAAGUGGGAAACGAUGUGGGAAGGCCCAGACAGCCAGGAUGUUGGCUUAGAAGCAGCCAUCAUUUAAAGAAAGCGUAAUAGCUCACUGGUCGAGUCGGCCUGCGCGGAAGAUGUAACGGGGCUAAACCAUGCACCGAAGCUGCGGCAGCGACGCUUAUGCGUUGUUGGGUAGGGGAGCGUUCUGUAAGCCUGCGAAGGUGUGCUGUGAGGCAUGCUGGAGGUAUCAGAAGUGCGAAUGCUGACAUAAGUAACGAUAAAGCGGGUGAAAAGCCCGCUCGCCGGAAGACCAAGGGUUCCUGUCCAACGUUAAUCGGGGCAGGGUGAGUCGACCCCUAAGGCGAGGCCGAAAGGCGUAGUCGAUGGGAAACAGGUUAAUAUUCCUGUACUUGGUGUUACUGCGAAGGGGGGACGGAGAAGGCUAUGUCGGCCGGGCGACGGUUGUCCCGGUUUAAGCGUGUAGGCUGACUUUCCAGGCAAAUCCGGAAAGUUAAGGCUGAGGCGUGAUGACGAGGCACCACGGUGCUGAAGUGACAAAUGCCCUGCUUCCAGGAAAAGCCUCUAAGCAUCAGGUAACAUCAAAUCGUACCCCAAACCGACACAGGUGGUCAGGUAGAGAAUACCAAGGCGCUUGAGAGAACUCGGGUGAAGGAACUAGGCAAAAUGGUGCCGUAACUUCGGGAGAAGGCACGCUGACAUGUAGGUGAAGCCCCUGCGGGUGGAGCUGAAGUCAGUCGAAGAUACCAGCUGGCUGCAACUGUUUAUUAAAAACACAGCACUGUGCAAACACGAAAGUGGACGUAUACGGUGUGACGCCUGCCCGGUGCCGGAAGGUUAAUUGAUGGGGUUAUCGCAAGAGAAGCUCCUGAUCGAAGCCCCGGUAAACGGCGGCCGUAACUAUAACGGUCCUAAGGUAGCGAAAUUCCUUGUCGGGUAAGUUCCGACCUGCACGAAUGGCGUAAUGAUGGCCAGGCUGUCUCCACCCGAGACUCAGUGAAAUUGAACUCGCUGUGAAGAUGCAGUGUACCCGCGGCAAGACGGAAAGACCCCGUGAACCUUUACUACAGCUUGACACUGAACAUUGAGCCUUGAUGUGUAGGAUAGGUGGGAGGCUUUGAAGCGUGGACGCCAGUCUGCGUGGAGCCGACCUUGAAAUACCACCCUUUAAUGUUUGAUGUUCUAACCUGGCGCCGUAAUCCGGCGUGGGGACAGUGUCUGGUGGGUAGUUUGACUGGGGCGGUCUCCUCCCAAAGUGUAACGGAGGAGCACGAAGGUCAGCUAAUCCUGGUCGGACAUCAGGAGGUUAGUGCAAUGGCAUAAGCUGGCUUGACUGCGAGAGUGACGGCUCGAGCAGGUGCGAAAGCAGGUCAUAGUGAUCCGGUGGUUCUGUAUGGAAGGGCCAUCGCUCAACGGAUAAAAGGUACUCCGGGGAUAACAGGCUGAUACCGCCCAAGAGUUCAUAUCGACGGCGGUGUUUGGCACCUCGAUGUCGGCUCAUCACAUCCUGGGGCUGAAGUAGGUCCCAAGGGUAUGGCUGUUCGCCAUUUAAAGUGGUACGCGAGCUGGGUUUAGAACGUCGUGAGACAGUUCGGUCCCUAUCUGCCGUGGGCGCUGGAGAAUUGAGGGGGGCUGCUCCCAGUACGAGAGGACCGGAGUGGACGCAUCACUGGUGUUCGGGUUGUCAUGCCAAUGGCACUGCCCGGUAGCUAAAUGCGGAAGAGAUAAGUGCUGAAAGCAUCUAAGCACGAAACUUGCCCCGAGAUGAGUUCUCCCUGAGACUAUAAGUCUCCUGAAGGAACGUUGAAGACGACGACGUUGAUAGGCCGGGUGUGUAAGCGCAGCGAUGCGUUGAGCUAACCGGUACUAAUGAACCGUGAGGCUUAACCUUACAACGCCAAAGAAGU
rnacentral:rRNA from 1 species